rnacentral:lncRNA from 1 species
CUACUCCGCUUCCUCGCGCAGGUGGCAGGUCGCCUCUGGCAGAACCUCUUCCUUCGUUCCCAGUCCCCAGCCUCUUGGCGUUUUGUCUGACGCCUCUUUUGUGUCGGACUCGACGCUUUCAGCCCGUCCUCCAGUGUUUUCAUCCCCCUCUCCCCAACGUUGCACUCUCAGACUCCGCAAACCCCGCCCGAUUUGGUUCAAUUAAAGUUGACCAGUAUUUGUUCCGAGCUUAGGAAGUACUUGGCCAGGCCAUGCGAGGCCUAUAUGAGAAGAAUGUGAGUCUUUUCUGAAAGCGAAGACCUCGAUCUGUGAUAUAAUUCGAGUUAAUACAAUGUAGAAAUGUUUGGUACAGCCUAUUCUGGGUGGGAAAAGCUCAAGGAUGGGAGGAGGAGCUGUUUCUUGGAGGAUUGAAAGGAUGUAGGCUCUCAGAGAGGAUGCCUCUGGAUUGCAUUAUGCCACAGGAAAAGGGAAUAAUGUUAUAAGGUUUGGAGGAGUGAGGGAAGAAUGUGAACUGCAUUUGGGGAGGAUUUCUGAGGAAGCUGGCUGGACUCGGAGAAUGAUUGUAAGUGGUAAUAUUAACUAGCUAGCUUGAUAAAAAGAAGCGCCAAGAUGAGUGACUUGGACUUCAUUGUCGUCCUGGUGUAACCUUUGGCAUCGUUUGUCUAGUCUUUGUAUGCAGUGUACAUUGGAGGGAGAGAGUCUGGGGCACUGUUGUGUUGUUGUUUUUUGUUUGUUUUUGAGACAGAGUCUCGCUCUGUCGCCCAGGCUACAAGCUCCGCCUCCCGGGUUCACGCCAUUCUCCUGCCUCAGCCUCCCGAGUAGCUGGGACUACAGGCGCCCGCCACCACGCCUGGCUAAUUUUUUGUAUUUUUAGUAGAGACGAGGUUUCACCGUGUUAGCCAGGAUGGUCUCCAUCUCCUGACCUCGUGAUCCGCCCGCCUCGGCCUCCCAAAGUGUUGGGAUUACAGGCGUGAGCCACCGCACCCCGCCUAC